UACGGAGGGAGCUAGCGUUGUUCGGAAUUACUGGGCGUAAAGCGCGCGUAGGCGGCUUUUCAAGUCAGGGGUGAAAUCCCGGGGCUCAACCCCGGAACUGCCCUUGAAACUGGAUGGCUAGAAUCCUGGAGAGGCGAGUGGAAUUCCGAGUGUAGAGGUGAAAUUCGUAGAUAUUCGGAAGAACACCAGUGGCGAAGGCGACUCGCUGGACAGGUAUUGACGCUGAGGUGCGAAAGCGUGGGGAGCAAACAGG
rnacentral:rRNA from 1 species